UACAGAGGGUGCAAACGUUGCUCGGAAUUACUGGGCGUAAAGCGCGAGUAGGUGGUUUUGUAAGUCGGGUGUGAAAGCCCAGGGCUCAACCCUGGAAGUGCACACGAUACUGCGAAGCUUGAGUACUGAAGAGGAGAGCGGAAUUCCCGGUGUAGAGGUGAAAUUCGUAGAUAUCGGGAGGAACACCAGUGGCGAAGGCGGCUCUCUGGGCAGAUACUGACACUCAGGCACGAAAGCGUGGGGAUCAAACAGG
rnacentral:rRNA from 1 species